UGUAUAGGAGUUAAAUACACUACUCUAGUACACAACUGUAGCCCCUCAGAGCACUAGAGUAAGAUAAUCACAUCAAUUAUUUUAUGAUAAUUUCCAAAACAAUCAUGCUCAUUUACUAAUUUCUCGAAAAUAAGACAUUUCAUGUAAUUAAUAUACUUCUAUAAAAUAAAAAGAAAAUCUUCUUUUUGGAAAAGUAGGUUCUUGACUCAUAGAUCUAUGGAUAGAAAUCUGGCUAAAUUGACGAGUAUUUCCAAACUUUCACAUCACUACCUGAAAUAACAAUAUAAUUACUCAAAUUAAACCCGACAAUUAAAUUAAUACAAAUCCACAACUUAACUUCUCAACUUCUAUAUUUAUUCUUACAUCUCCAAUUCUCCAACUUUUCGUCUCUUUAAUGAUUUAUCAACUAAUCACCAUUUAUUAUCAAAUACAUUAAAUCACUCGCACUUCCUUAAAAUCACUACCUUAUUCAAAUACAACCCCUAUACCAAAUUUAGUCCAAAACAUAAACUUCAAUAUUUGUCAUAUAACUUCAUUCAAACCUUUAAAAAUCUGAAAAUAAGAGCUUUGACAAAAAUAGCACUAAAAUCCCAUAAUAUUAAAAUCUUGCACCAAUUUCUAUAUUAAAAUCUGGCAUCAAAACCUUUGACAAAAAUAGAGCUAUUCUGGGGCAGACUUUUAAAACAGCACCGGAAUAGGAUUUUAUCCAAAAAUGACUUAUAUUAAUUACUUAAAAAUGGAGAAAUCAACCCCAAAUCUUUAAUUUAAGGGCUUGACAUCAUAUAAUUCCAAAAAGAUCAAAAAAUAAAUAUCCAUUUCAUAAACCCAUUUACAAAGUUCCAUUUUCUUCAACUUCAACAUUCAAAUAAACAUAUUUCUUUACUAUAUUUCUAAUUAUAACAUCAAAUACAUAUUAAUAAUACCUAAUUCUAGCUAAGUUUUGAAUUGAAACAAAUUUUCCUUAAACCCUAAGAAAAUUUUAUUCAAUAUGCAUGUUCUUACCUCUCUAAAUCUAAUGAGAAAUUGAAGAAAUAGAGCACCAAGCUUGGAUAUCCACUUCCUCCUUCUUCUCCUUCUCCUCCUCUUCCUUUCUUUCUUCCCUUCUCUUAUUUUUUCUUUUUUCUUUUCCUUUUUUCUUUCUCUUUCUCGGCCUUUCUGCUUCACUGCCCCUUUUUUUCUAUUAUGUGUGUGUGUGUGUGUUUUU
rnacentral:lncRNA from 1 species